rnacentral:rRNA from 1 species
GAAACGACUGCUAAGACUGGAUAGGAGAUAAAAAGGAAUCUUUUUAUUUUUAAAAGACCUUUUUCGGAAGGUAUGCUUAAAGAGGGGCUUGCGUCACAUUAGUUAGUUGGUAGGGUAAAGGCCUACCAAGACGAUGAUGUGUAGCUGGACUGAGAGGUUGAACAGCCACAUUGGGACUGAGACACGGCCCAAACUCCUACGGGAGGCAGCAGUAGGGAAUUUUCGGCAAUGGAGGAAACUCUGACCGAGCGACGCCGCGUGAACGACGAAGUACUUCGGUAUGUAAAGUUCUUUUAUUGAAGAAGAAACAAUAGUGGAAAAACUAUCUUGACGUUAUUCAAUGAAUAAGCCCCGGCUAACUAUGUGCCAGCAGCCGCGGUAAUACAUAGGGGGCGAGCGUUAUCCGGAAUUAUUGGGCGUAAAGGGUGCGUAGGCGGUUUAAUAAGUCUCUAGUUUAAUUUCAACGCUUAACGUUGUCCUGCUAGAGAAACUGUUUAACUAGAGUGAGAUAGAGGUAAGCGGAAUUCCAUGUGUAGCGGUAAAAUGUGUAAAUAUAUGGAGGAACACCAGAGGCGUAGGCGGCUUACCGGGUCUUUACUGACGCUGAUGCACGAAAGCGUGGGGAGCAAACAGGAUUAGAUACCCUGGUAGUCCACGCCGUAAACUAUGAGUACUAAGUGUCGGGGUUAAACUCGGUACUGAAGUUAACACAUUAAGUACUCCGCCUGAGUAGUACGUACGCAAGUAUGAAACUUAAAGGAAUUGACGGGAUCCCGCACAAGCGGUGGAUCAUGUUGUUUAAUUCGAAGAUACACGAAAAACCUUACCAGGUCUUGACAUACUCUGCAAAGCUAUAGAAAUAUAGUGGAGGUUAUCAGGGAUACAGGUGGUGCAUGGUUGUCGUCAGCUCGUGUCGUGAGAUGUUAGGUUAAGUUCUAAAACGAGCGCAACCCCUGUCGUUAAUUGCCAGCACGUUAUGGUGGGGACUUUAGCGAGACUGCCAAUGAAAAAUUGGAGGAAGGUGGGGAUUACGUCAAAUCAUCAUGCCCCUUAUGAUCUGGGUUACAAACGUGAUACAAUGGCUAUUACAAAGAGUAGCUGAAACGCGAGUUUUCGGCAAAUCUCAAAAAAAUAGUCUCAGUUCGGAUUGAAGUCUGCAACUCGACCUCAUGAAGUUGGAAUCGCUAGUAAUCGCGAAUCAGCAUGUCGCGGUGAAUACGUUGGCGGGGUUUGUACACACCGCCA